UACGUAGGGACCGAGCGUUGUCCGGAAUCAUUGGGCGCAAAGAGCGUGUAGGCGGCCACUUAAGUCCUGCGUGAAAUCUUGCGGCUCAACCGCAAGCGGUCGUGGGAAACUGGGUGGCUAGAGUGCGGGAGAGGAGAGUGGAAUUCCUGGUGUAGCGGUGGAAUGCGCAGAUAUCAGGAAGAACACCCGUGGCGAAGGCGGCUCUCUGGAACGCAACUGACGCUGAGACGCGAAAGCGUGGGGAGCAAACAGG
rnacentral:rRNA from 1 species